rnacentral:ncRNA from 2 species
GCUCUGACAGUGUUGCACUAC